GCCUGGCUAGCUUAGUUGAUAGAGCAAGGGACUCUUGAUCUGAGGAUUGUGGGUUUGAGCCCUAUGCUGGGCA